GUGAAUCGGAAGUUAUCAAAACCGCAGAAUAAGUUCUCUAGUUUUGCUCGUUAUUUGCAUAAUAUGUUUGUUUAUCAUAAUAAUUAUUUAUGCUAGAAUGUUAGGUACGUCAUUUGCGACAGAACCUACUGGUCGAUUUGAAGCUGAAUGAAUCGAUUAAAUCGAUCAGUGCAAUAUCGCAUGCAAGUAAAGUGCAUUGUAAGUUGCAUGCCACCAAGGUGGCGUUCUUUUAUUACGUGACGCGGGAACAGGAACAAAGUUUGGUCAUCAAACAAUAAUAACAACAAAAGACGGACAGUCGGCAACUGCAGUGCAAGUUUUCGGUCGUUGUUAUUCAUGCUCAAGUUGAAUGAAAUCGAAACGAUGGAAUAAUGCUGCAACGGGGACGGAAAGAGCGGAACUUUUUGUCCAGGAGCUGCGCUUGCUGCCGAGCCACUUGACGAUGGUGCGCCCUGCAGGAGAUGAUCGAGUACCGUGAGCAGCCAGCACCGCACCAAAUGUGAUGCUGAUAAAUGUCUGAUCAGGAUGCCGGAACAAGUAGUUAAACACGACCGGAAGAUUGUUAAAAACUGCCCUUUUUGAAGAUGGUGCUGCCGUACCUGGUCCCGGAAAGAGGAAAAUAGUUCUAGAAGGAGCGUGUACGGUUGGUGCCAGUUUUGGACUACACGAGCCUCCUUCACUAGAGAUUUAAAAAAAAUCGUGCAGCAGGUGAGUUUCAACAAUGUUUAAUAAAGAUUUUAUUUAAUUUUUAACUAUGAUUUGUUUUUACAGAUAUUUUACAGGUUAAACGCUGAACUUUAGAGCGUAACUGGACCGGCCAAGUCAUUCUGCUGAUUUGUAACGAACCUACGCUGGCAGUUCCGGAUUAAGUUUGGUAUUGAACGAAUCGUUCUGUAUCGGACUGUGCAACCAGGAGUUGGCGCAAGAGCUGGCGCUUAACGAACAUGGCCGAGGGACGGAUUAAGCGCGCCACAAAUCUGCUUUUCGUUCGGGAUCAGUCAAUUCCGCAUUCCGCGCCAACCUUACAAUUUUAGUCGUGCAAGCUCGGGCUGUCCACGGCACUCUCGAUCGUCGGCUUUAACCCAGUGACUAACGCACGAGACACCAGCACGGCCACUGAACACGUUGGAGACGUUUGGUUCGGAUGAUUCCAAGGUGGCGUUGAUGUGGGCCUAAGUCAACAGUGCCUGUUUCGGAAGUGGGACAGCGUUUCUCGCGUGACCCGCUUUACUUUCCAUAAGUCACCGCCGACAAUAGCAACUGCGAGGGCUCGUUGGAAAAUACUACCCGUACCGGAAGUUA